CCGGACCGGCGCACGGGUGAGUAACGCGUAUGCAACUUACCUAUCAGAGGGGAUAACCCGGCGAAAGUCGGACUAAUACCGCAUGAAGCAGGGGCCCCGCAUGGGGAUAUUUGCUAAAGAUUCAUCGCUGAUAGAUAGGCAUGCGUUCCAUUAGGCAGUUGGCGGGGUAACGGCCCACCAAACCGACGAUGGAUAGGGGUUCUGAGAGGAAGGUCCCCCACAUUGGACUGAGACACGGCCAA
rnacentral:rRNA from 1 species